rnacentral:sRNA from 1 species
UGCAGCUGCGGUCGCUCGGGAACCACGCCUGGCAGUCAGUCGCAACAUCCUCCCGCCGUUUGUUGAGGCAGUUUGGUGGAGGGAAGUGGAACCUACGCCGACAGAGGCUGUUUCUCUGUCAGGAGGCAAGCACGAGUGCUGAGGAAAACUUUGCCCUUGCCAUGAGACACUUCUCACACCCAGCGUGGCACUGAGGCCAUCAAGGGGCGCCGGCACAGGGACGCUUGGAGGGAGAUGGGGCAGGAUCCACUCGCCUCUGCCCAGCUGCUGCCCUCCCCAGGAGGCCUCUAUGGCUUCACCUACCUCCACCAACCCAGCGCAUGCCCACUUUGAGAGCUUCCUGCAGGCCCAGCUGUGCCAGGACGUGCUGAGCAGCUUCCAGGAGCUGUGUGGGGCCCUGGGGCUGGAACCCGGUGGGGGGCUGCCCCAGUACCACAAGAUCAAGGACCAGCUCAACUACUGGAGCGCCAAGUCACUGUGGACCAAGCUGGACAAGCGAGCAGGCCAGCCUGUCUACCAGCAGGGCCGGGCCUGCACCAGCACCAAGUGCCUGGUGGUGGGUGCUGGACCUUGCGGGCUGCGGGUCGCUGUGGAGCUGGCGCUGCUGGGGGCCCGAGUGGUGCUGGUGGAAAAGCGCACCAAGUUCUCUCGCCACAACGUGCUCCACCUCUGGCCCUUCACCAUCCACGACCUGCGGGCACUCGGUGCUAAGAAGUUCUACGGGCGCUUCUGCACUGGCACCCUGGACCACAUCAGCAUCCGGCAGCUCCAGCUGCUUCUGCUGAAGGUAGCAUUGCUGCUGGGGGUGGAAAUUCACUGGGGUGUCACUUUCACUGGCCUCCAGCCCCCUCCUAGGAAGGGGAGUGGCUGGCAUGCCCAGCUCCAACCCAACCCCCCUGCCCAGCUGGCCAACUAUGAAUUUGACGUCCUUAUCUCGGCUGCAGGAGGUAAAUUCGUCCCUGAAGGCUUCAAAGUUCGAGAAAUGCGAGGCAAACUGGCCAUUGGCAUCACAGCCAACUUUGUGAAUGGACGCACCGUGGAGGAGACACAGGUGCCGGAGAUCAGUGGUGUAGCCAGGAUCUACAACCAGAGCUUCUUCCAGAGCCUUCUCAAAGCCACAGGUCAGGGACCCUCUUGCUGAAUUUCCCCUCCCCCGCCUGACUGUGGCCUGGCUCCUGCCUCUGCCUUCCAAACUUGUCCUCACUGCAAGGAACUCCACACUUUUCUGUUUUUUUGGUCUCAGCAGCAAAGGAGAAGGAACCUGUCCCCUCAGGGAUUAAGCAAGCACAGCCCUAGUUGACCACCCAGCAUGAAAAAUCCUGGAAUCUCUCACAGAUGAACCUGUGUAUGGGAGUUUUGCUUAAGUGGUACUUCAAGAAGGUGCCUCUGUUUACUUUGGUUUUGCACUGCCAUGCGACCAGGUGGUGCAGGUCUCCCAAAUGCCACCCCCCUCCAAGCUUCCCUCUUUGCUCUAAGUCCUCAGGCCUCCUGGGCCUGGGACAGAUGGUUGUUUGUGUCAUCAGAACUUGUGGGGUUCUAUGCGUGGAGCACUCACUGCAGCCUAAGCUGGGAUCCCAGCUCAGAGGUCAGGCCAUGUUGGGAUGUUUAGGGAAGGUGAUGCAUUAUCAGGAGACAUAUCUACUGUCCCCUGCCCUGUACCCCCAGGCAUUGAUCUGGAGAACAUUGUGUACUACAAGGAUGACACCCACUACUUUGUGAUGACAGCCAAGAAGCAGUGCCUGCUGCGGCUGGGGGUGCUGCGCCAGGACUGGCCAGACACCGAUCGGCUGCUGGGCAGUGCCAAUGUGGUGCCCGAAGCUCUGCAGCGCUUUGCCCGGGCAGCUGCUGACUUUGCAACCCAUGGCAAGCUCGGGAAACUAGAGUUUGCCCAGGAUGCCCAUGGGCAGCCUGAUGUCUCUGCCUUUGACUUCACGAGCAUGAUGCGGGCAGAGAGUUCUGCUCGUGUGCAAGAGAAGCAUGGCGCCCGCCUGCUGCUGGGACUGGUGGGGGACUGCCUGGUGGAGCCCUUCUGGCCCCUGGGCACUGGAGUGGCACGGGGCUUCCUGGCAGCCUUUGAUGCAGCCUGGAUGGUGAAGCGGUGGGCAGAGGGUGCUGAGUCCCUAGAGGUGUUGGCUGAGCGUGAGAGCCUGUACCAGCUUCUGUCACAGACGUCCCCAGAAAACAUGCAUCGCAAUGUGGCCCAGUAUGGGCUGGACCCAGCCACCCGCUACCCCAACCUGAACCUCCGGGCAGUGACCCCCAAUCAGGUACGAGACCUGUAUGAUGUGCUAGCCAAGGAGCCUGUGCAGAGGAACAACGACAAGACAGAUACAGGGAUGCCAGCCACCGGGUCAGCAGGCACCCAGGAGGAGCUGCUACGCUGGUGCCAGGAGCAGACAGCUGGGUACCCGGGAGUCCACGUCUCCGAUUUGUCUUCCUCCUGGGCUGAUGGGCUAGCUCUGUGUGCCCUGGUGCACCGGCUGCAGCCUGGCCUGCUGGAACCCUCAGAGCUGCAGGGGCUGGGAGCUCUGGAAGCAACUGCUUGGGCACUAAAGGUGGCGGAGAAUGAGCUGGGCAUCACACCGGUGGUGUCUGCACAGGCCGUGGUAGCAGGGAGUGACCCACUGGGCCUCAUUGCCUACCUCAGCCACUUCCACAGUGCCUUCAAGAGCACGGCCCACAGCCCAGGCCCUGUCAGCCAGGCCUCCCCAGGGACCUCCAGUGCUGUAUUAUUCCUUAGUAAACUUCAGAGGACCCUGCAGCGAUCCCGGGCCAAGGAAAAUGCAGAGGAUGCUGGUGGCAAGAAGCUGCGCUUGGAGAUGGAGGCCGAGACCCCAAGUACUGAGGUGCCACCUGACCCAGAGCCUGGUGUACCCCUGACACCCCCAUCCCAACACCAGGAGGCCGGUGCUGGGGACCUGUGUGCACUUUGUGGGGAACACCUCUAUGUCCUGGAACGCCUCUGUGUCAACGGCCAUUUCUUCCACCGGAGCUGCUUCCGCUGCCAUACCUGUGAGGCCACACUGUGGCCAGGUGGCUAUGAGCAGCACCCAGGAGAUGGACAUUUCUACUGCCUCCAGCACCUGCCCCAGCCAGACCACAAAGAGGAAGGCAGCGAUAGAGGCCCUGAGAGUCCGCCUCGCAGGAGGGGGCCAGUCCUGUUCCAGAUCCCAGCCAGCCCACCCGUCGGCAGAUCCGCCUCUCCAGCCCGGAGCGCCAGCGGUUGUCCUCCCUUAACCUUACCCCUGACCCGGAAAUGGAGCCUCCACCCAAGCCUCCCCGCAGCUGCUCCGCCUUGGCCCGCCACGCCCUGGAGAGCAGCUUUGUGGGUUGGGGCCUGCCAGUCCAGAGCCCUCAAGCUCUUGUGGCCAUGGAGAAGGAGGAAAAAGAGAGUCCCUUCUCCAGUGAAGAGGAAGAAGAAGAUGUGCCUUUGGACUCAGAUGUGGAACAGGCCCUGCAGACCUUUGCCAAGACCUCAGCCACCAUGAAUAACUACCCAACAUGGCGUCGGACUCUGCUGCGCCGUGCGAAGGAGGAGGAGAUGAAGAGGUUCUGCAAGGCCCAGACCAUCCAACGGCGACUAAAUGAGAUUGAGGCUGCCUUGAGGGAGCUAGAGGCCGAGGGCGUGAAGCUGGAGCUGGCCUUGAGGCGCCAGAGCAGUUCCCCAGAACAGCAAAAGAAACUAUGGGUAGGACAGCUGCUACAGCUCGUUGACAAGAAAAACAGCCUGGUGGCUGAGGAGGCCGAGCUCAUGAUCACGGUGCAGGAGUUGAAUCUGGAGGAGAAACAGUGGCAGCUGGACCAGGAGCUACGAGGCUACAUGAACCGGGAAGAAACUCUAAAGACAGCUGCUGAUCGGCAGGCUGAGGACCAGGUCCUGAGGAAGCUGGUGGAUUUGGUCAACCAGAGAGAUGCCCUCAUCCGCUUCCAGGAGGAGCGCAGGCUCAGCGAGCUGGCCUUGGGGACAGGGGCCCAGGGCUAGACAAGGGUGGGCUGUCUGCUUUCGUUCCCACAAAGAAACCACCUCACCCCAGCACAGUGCCACCCCUGUUCAUCUGGGCUGCCUGGCAGAGAGCCUUGCUGUUUACAAUUAAAAUGUUUCUGCCACAAA